GCCGGGCCUGGUGGUGCGCACCUGUAGUCCCAGACGUGGGAGGCUGAGGCAGGAGAAUCGCUUGAGCCCGGGGGUCCUGGGCUAGAGUGCACUAUGCCAGUUUGGUGUCCGCACUAAUUUCAGCAUCAGUAUGGUGACCUCCUUGAAGCAGGGGACCACCAGUUUGCAAAAGGAGGGGGCAGAAACGGAGCAGGUCAGAACUCUCCCGUGCCGAUCAGCAGGGGGUUCUCACCUGUGAAGAGUCCCUGCACUCCAGCCCGUGCAACAUAAGUGAGACUCCAUCUCUA
ensembl:misc_RNA Metazoa_SRP Metazoan signal recognition particle RNA